rnacentral:rRNA from 1 species
UACGUAGGGGGCAAGCGUUGUCCGGAAUCAUUGGGCGUAAAGCGCGUGUAGGCGGCCAAGUAAGUCCGUUCUGAAAGCCCGGGGCUCAACCCCGGGAGGCGGAUGGAUACUGCUUGGCUCGAGUCCGGAAGAGGCGAGUGGAAUUCCCGGUGUAGCGGUGAAAUGCGCAGAUAUCGGGAGGAACACCUAUGGCGAAGGCAGCUCGCUGGGACGUUACUGACGCUGAGACGCGAAAGCGUGGGGAGCAAACAGG